rnacentral:rRNA from 1 species
CCAGACUCCUACGGGAGGCAGCAGUGAGGAAUAUUGGUCAAUGGGCUUACGCCUGAACCAGCCAAGUCGCGUGAGGGAAGACUGCCCUAUGGGUUGUAAACCUCUUUUGUCAGGGAGCAAUUGGCGCUACGUGUAGCGUUAUCGAGAGUACCUGAAGAAAAAGCAUCGGCUAACUCCGUGCCAGCAGCCGCGGUAAUACGGAGGAUGCGAGCGUUAUCCGGAUUUAUUGGGUUUAAAGGGUGCGUAGGCGGAAUGCCAAGUCAGGGGUAAAAUCGCGGGGCUCAACCUCGCUCCGCCGUUGAAACUGGCGUUCUUGAGUGGGCGAGAAGUAUGCGGAAUGCGUGGUGUAGCGGUGAAAUGCAUAGAUAUCACGCAGAACUCCGAUUGCGAAGGCAGCAUACCGGCGCCCAACUGACGCUGAAGCACGAAAGCGUGGGUAUCGAACAGGAUUAGAUACCCCGUA